rfam:Lucilia cuprina strain LS Scaffold171, whole genome shotgun sequence.
UAAAUUUCAUAUGAUGAACGAAUAAGCAGAAGAGUUCCAUGAAGACUAUAUUCAUCACCCAAGACUGAAAAAUAAAUU